rnacentral:rRNA from 1 species
AGAUGGACCCGCGCCGUAUUAGCUAGUUGGUAAGGUAACGGCUUACCAAGGCGACGAUACGUAGCCGACCUGAGAGGGUGAUCGGCCACACUGGAACUGAGACACGGUCCAGACUCCUACGGGAGGCAGCAGUAGGGAAUCUUCCGCAAUGGGCGAAAGCCUGACGGAGCAACGCCGCGUGAGUGAUGAAGGUCUUCGGAUCGUAAAACUCUGUUAUUAGGGAAGAACAUACGUGUAAGUAACUGUGCACGUCUUGACGGUACCUAAUCAGAAAGCCACGGCUAACUACGUGCCAGCAGCCGCGGUAAUACGUAGGUGGCAAGCGUUAUCCGGAAUUAUUGGGCGUAAAGCGCGCGUAGGCGGUUUUUUAAGUCUGAUGUGAAAGCCCACGGCUCAACCGUGGAGGGUCAUUGGAAACUGGAAAACUUGAGUGCAGAAGAGGAAAGUGGAAUUCCAUGUGUAGCGGUGAAAUGCGCAGAGAUAUGGAGGAACACCAGUGGCGAAAGCGACUUUCUGGUCUGUAACUGACGCUUAAUGUGCGAAAGCGUGGGGAUCAAACAGGAUUAGAUACCCUGGUAGUCCACGCCGUAAACGAUGAGUGCUAAGUGUUAAGGGGGUUUCCGCCCCUUAGUGCUGCAGCUAACGCAUUAAGCACUCCGCCUGGGGAGUACGACCGCAAGGUUGAGACUCACAGGAAUUGACGGGGACGCGCACAAGCCGGUGGAGCAUGUGGUUUAUUUCUAAGCAACGCGGAGAACCUUACCAAAUCUUGACAUCCUUUGACAACUCUCGAGAUAGAG